CCUACGGGAGUCAGCAGUGAGGAAUAUUGGUCAAUGGACGGAAGUCUGAACCAGCCAUGCCGCGUGCAGGAAGACGGCUCUAUGAGUUGUAAACUGCUUUUUUACAAGGGUAAACCUGAAUACGUGUAUUCAGCUGAAAGUACUGUACGAAUAAGGAUCGGCUAACUCUGUGUCAGCAGCCGCGGUAAUACGGAGGAUCCAAGCGUUAUCCGGAUUUAUUGGGGUUAAAGGGUGCGUAGGCGGAUUGAUAAGUUAGAGGUGAAAUGUCCGAGCUUAACUCGGGAACUGCCUCUAAUACUAUUGAUCUGGAGAGUAGAUGCGGUAGGCGGAAUGUAUGGUGUAGCGGUGAAAUGCUUAGAGAUAAGACAGAACACCGAUUGCGAAGGCAGCUUACCAAUCUAUAUCUGACGUUGAGGCACGAAAGCGUGGGGAGCAAACAGGAUUAGAUACCCGUGUAGUC
rnacentral:rRNA from 1 species